AAUCCUUCUCUUUCAUCUUUCUUUCUAGAGAGAGAGAGACUCUGACCUCUCUCUAGAAAUCUGGUCUUCUUCUCCGGCGACGAUUUCGGUACAGGUACGGUGGUCGACCACCACAGGGGGCGGCGGCGCUGUGCCGGAAACCCUUUUAAAUUGACUUUUUAAAACCCUUUUCCUUUCCUCUUUCUUUUUCUCACCUUAAAACUCAACAACAACAAAAAAAGAACCAAGAGCCCUAGAUCUAGGAAAAUAAAAAGAACUAUCUCUUUAUGUUUUUGGAUCGGCUAUGACUGUGUUUGGGUACUGUUGAUGUUUGUUUCGUCGGUGUGUUGUUGGUUCGGUGUUCUGGAUUCGGUUUGUGUGAUUAUUUUGGCAAGGUUUGUGUUUUCUGUAUCAAUACGGCUUUGAGGACCCUGAACAUGUUUUUAGACUUACUCUAAGUAAAUAAAUAAAAAAAGAAUAAAAAGAACCUAAGUAAAAAAUAAAGAUAAAAAUAAAAUAAGUAAAUAAAUAAAAUGUAAAAAUAAUAAAAUUAAAAAGAGUAAAAUAAAAUAAAAAGACUAAAAAAUAAAAUAAAUAAAAAGUAGGCCCGAAAACGAACCAAAAAUGAGUUUAAAACACCUCUAUGUCGAAAUUUUCUUUGAAAAGUCAAAGAAUAUUCCGGGUUAAAUACACGUGACAGUGGGAUCUUAGAUAAAAAAUUAUGGUAUGACAUUUUUGUUAUUGUUUGAUUUUAAGUUGAAGGAAUUUUGGAUGUGGGUAAUUUGAAAGAGAUCUGAGAGAGAUUAGAGAUUGGAAAUGAGGAAAUGAGGUUCUGCCUGGCCUUAAAACAGCACGCAUCGUGAGUUAAGUCACGCUAGUGUAAAUCUCUGUGUGAGUUAACUCACGCACCUUUGGUCGGUGGUUUGAGUUAACUCACGUACCUUUCUGCACCACAUUUGUCACGUUUUUUGGAUGGUUUGGAAAGUGGUCAUAUGGUUUACCACGUUUUUUACACGUUUUUUAUCCACCAUAAUGGUUAGAUACAACCUAGACUUGCAUUUUCCCUAUAAAUACUCUUCCAACCUUCACCAUUUCUCACAUUCUUUCC
rnacentral:lncRNA from 1 species